rnacentral:misc_RNA from 1 species
GAUGAAGAACGCAGCGAACUGCGAUAAGUAAUGUGAAUUGCAGAAUUUUGUGAAUCAUCGAAUCUUUGAACGCAAAUGGCACUCCCCGGCAAUCCGGAGAGUAUGCUUGUUUGAGGGUCAGCAAAAACAAUCACGGAUUCAUAUUCUGUGGAAUUGGGCGUUUCAAGGGAUCUAGGUCCGUAUUGAUCGCCUAAAAAUAAUUUUUGGUUCUUCUGAAGUGAACUAAUCUAUGGAUCGCUGACGAUGAACCGGUAACGCAUUAUGGUCAUUCAUUAUGAUGAUAACGAAUGAUUCAUAUGCAUAUUCCAUUAAAUGACCUCAAAUCAAGUAAGAUUACCCGCUGAACUUAAGCAUAUCAAUAAACGGAGGA